CAUCACCUGGUCUCCUGCCAGCCACUUUCCACUUUCUAGGAGAUAAAUCCUGCCAGUUUUGGGGACACAGGCACUGCCACCUAUGUAGGGAGGGUCAGGGCUGCCUGGAAAGCUGGAAGUGACAAUGCUCCUGGUGGGAACACCUCACUGCAGUGCUGGGGAGGAGCUGAGGGGUGGAUCAGCCUGAGGAGAUGGAUGUGUCAGCGAGGGAUUCAGGGGCAGCCACAGCUUCUCUGGGCACCCUGUUCAUUGUGAUGUGAAGAAACUGUGACAUUGGGCUAUAACAGGAAGAUGAGAACACCACCAGUGACAGGCAGACCAAAAAGGACAAGAUCUGUGAAUAUGAGGAUGUUCUGAGAGUGCAUUUCUUUAAGAGGAAAAAAACUUCCCUGUCAUCCACCUCUGGCUUCUGCUGGACUACAUGGAGGAGUAGCCACUGACAUGGACAAAAUAUUGAGUUGGUAAUGCUGUGCUGGUUGGCAGCUGGGAAUGUCAAGCCCCUCAAUGUGUUGUUUUCCAAGUCUGAUGCCAGGAAAUGAGUUUUAUGACCUGGAGUGUGACAAAAAUUUGCCUGGAUGAGCAUUGUCCCUUUUGGGACAGCACUGGGCUCAAUUAGUGCAGCAUCUACCCCUGGAGAGCAUUCCUGGGAAACUGUCCUGUCAGCUCACCCAGAUUCCUGCCUGCAGAGAGCCACUGGAUGUGGCUCUUAAAUAAAAAGAAGAAAAAAAAAAAAGUAAGGAAGGAAGAGGAAAAUUACCAAUUAAUCAUUAAUCAUGGAUGGGUGCCCAAGAGCAGGGGCUCUCUGAGAGGUGAGGCACAGCCCUCCCUUGGCUGUGAGCCUCUCUGCUCAAGGAGAAAGAGCUGAAGCAAGUCUCCAUCUCCUGCACCUCCUUCUGUGAGCAGCCCUUCAGAGGCAGCAGAUGGGUCCAGCGUGGCACCAACACAAUCAGAAAUAGCUCUGGCACAGCUCCCCACGUGGUUUCAGACUGUCUCAUCCCUGGCCAUGUGGCCAAGCUGCAGGAACUGCUGGAAAAACUCAACUCCGAGCUUGCAGAGCCAGGAUGUCAUUAGGCACGGCAGGGAGGAGCAGGAAAACAAACACCUGGCACCACCACAUCCCUUUAGCAAGGAGGGUUGUGGUGUAAAAGGCAAAGACUGGUCUGUGGCAUUCACAUUCUCUGAACGGAGAGAGACAUCAUUCUCCCUCCCAGGAUUUCUCCUGGGGAAGGCAGUGAGAAGCUCAGAGAAAAAGAGAAUAAUUCUUACCUACUUGCUGCUCCUGUUGUUUGGCACACGUGGAAUGUCUUAUGAGAUUGUUUACCAAAGGUGAUGGCUGUUUGGAUUGAUUGGCCAAUUGGGUAAAAGCUGUGUUGUGAUGGUUGGAGACAGUCAUGGGUUUUUCUGGAAUAUCUUUUCAGUAUAGUAUCUUUUUAGUAUUUAUAGGGGAUAUUUUUGCCCAAAAUCUGGGAGGAACGAUGAGGAGCACUCCAUCUUAUCAGAAGGCUAAUUAAUUACUUUAUUAUACUAUAUUAUUCUAUAUUAUAUUACAUUAUAUUGCAUUACACCUAAACUGAAUCUGCCAAGCACUGCACUGCCCAGCAUCUCGUGACUGUCAGCUGACAGUCCUGACACACACCUGGAUUCAAUUGGUCACUGAAUCAAAACUCUCACACCAGAAUCCAAUUCCCUCCAGGUAAACAAUGCUCCACAAUGCAUUCCACUUGUGAGCAAGGCAGGAGCAGUAAAUGAGAUAAGAAUUGUUUGGAUCAUUCUUUUCUCUGCUUCUCUUGGGUUCAGAGAAUGUGAAUCCCACAAGUAUUCUUUAGUACAGUAUCUCUUUAUGUAAUUUAGUAUAGUAUUAAUGUAAUAUGGUAUAGCUUAAUAAAGCAUUUGUUCAGCAUUCCUGAAUCAUGGAGUCAGAGCACAUUAUUCCCCAGAUGGGGGUCAGCCAUCUACUACAGUGGUCUAAGAGGUAAACCCAGCAUUUGCAGAGCAUCCUCCUGCCUGCCAUGAGCUGGGACUGACAGAAGGUCUCAUUGCAGCCAUCAGCUGUGGGGAUGACAGGAUUUGUGCUCCAAGCCCGGGCUCUGGGCUGGUCUCAGGGCCUCUGAGACAGGCCAGGGUGCUGCAGUGUGCAUGAGCAAUAAGAGGGGUCUCCUAUUAGCACCGACCUUUGAGGAUGUGAAAGU